rnacentral:lncRNA from 1 species
UGCCAUGCAGCAGAUCCUCUCUACACUGCUGGGGAUUAAACCCUCCCCUCUUUGCAUGACUUUGGGAUGAGGUUUGUCCCCAUCUCAGCCGGGACACUGAAUCCUACCUGUAGGAUAGGACUUGUGCUGGAAGUAGGGGUCUUGGCUGAGAAUAAGGAUGGGACCAAUUGCAUGGAGCUUAGAGAGCAAGGAAGUGCCAAGAGGGCAAGGCGAGGACACCAGGUAAUCCACCUCUCCCACUUCAGAUCUUCAGGCAGUUUAGACAAUUCAUCCUGUUCAGAACCUUCCCAGGGGGCUGUCACACACUGAGGACGUGGCUGAUAACCCUUGGUCUUUUAUUUGGAGAAAAAUCAAACCCACGUGAUUCUUUAAUAAUCAGUAAAUGUUUCCAGGACAGCAAACGGAGGAGAGCCGGGAUGAGAGAGGAAAGCCCCCUGCAGCUGUAGCGGUCUAACAAUUCCACCAUUAGGCCUAAUCGCCAAGAGAAGCCAUUUCUCCAACUUGUUGGCUCUGGAUGUGAGCUGCUCCUUCUGCCAGAGAAAAGACAAAAGUCCUCCAUGGCAGCAUUAGGUUAAUGCCCCUGUUUAGUGCACCAGCAGGAGCGCUGCGGAUGCUGAUCCCAUAUGUUUCCACGCAUCUGCAGGUGGGCAUCUUCUGCCUCCCCUGGGGCCUCUCCUCCAGCGCUGUUGCCAAGGGAAGCAGGGGAAGAUGAUGACUUUCAGCUGUGACCUUUCUGCCAGGAAAUCUCUCAGCUGAUCAGUUCCCAAUACGUUUAAUGUGAUAUUUGCGGGGAGGAUGACCUUCAUUAAAUGGUAAGGUCAAGAGCACCAUUGGCGGAGGGAGCCAAGAGACAUCAUAAGAGUGACAAGGAGACAGUCAAAGAAGAGGGACUCACCCCCCGACCCCCAGGGUGUUGAAUGAAUCCAGAAAGAUUGAAAAAGGUCUCUAGGGCAACAGACACAGCUUCCCAACCUUGACGGGAGCUGAGUCACCUGCUGGCUCCCCAGCAAGUCCCCAUAUACUGGAUAAAUAAAGCAAAGAGUAAAAUGAGGUCUGGCUGCCUCAAGGCUCACUGCUGAGCCCUCAGGAGAAGCCGAGCUACUUAAUGUAAUUCAGCUGGUGAAAGGCACGGACUUCAGCAGUUCUGUCCAGAAGCUUCCUACCCAUCCUAAAAAAAAAGCCAAGAUCCCAAAAAAGUUUCCUAAGGGCCCGUGGAAAAAGCAAUCAAUAGAAAGAAGCACAAAGUGUAGCUGCCAGUGAGCUUUUUAAAGUCUGCAUAUGGUUUGCAUGUGCCUGCAGAGACCAGACAAUCUGAGCAUUCUCAGAAGAAUCUGUCUUAUUCCAGAAAGCCAAGACUGUAUUUCCUCACCUCUGUUCAGCCUGGCAUGUUCAAUGAGAUGUAAGACUACCCUGCUGCAAGACACACAGUCUGCUGACAUUUUCCUGAUUCCUCCUGCCUAAAACUUGGAGGUGAUGGCUAGAGUUUCAACAGCCAUUUUGGACCAGGAGGUGUCCUUGAGGAUAGACAUCACGUGCUGAGGAUGACAAAGCAGGAAGGUAGACAUCCCUACCAAUCGUGGAAUCAACAUGCUUGCUUUGGGUUGCGUAGAACCAGAGACAAAUUAGCCUUUACUGUAUUUAUUGUAUUUUUAUUGUAAAGCACUGUUAUUUAGGUUUUCCAUUCUAUGAAAUGAAACUAAUCCUAACAGAUGCACCAAGACAUAUUUCAAAUCGUGCUUCCCGGUGUUAAUUUCUAACUGCCUGCCGCAUCAAUGAAUAAUUUCCUGCAUUAAGCGCUGUUUCCCUUCCACACCCCGUUCCCCAGGGAAUCAUGUUCCCUCCCUGUCUGACUCAAGUCCUAAGUCCCAGUGACCUUUUCCAGACCCACCCAGCCUCUCCCUGUCCAAAUCUAGCAAUCAAUACCGUAGCCACACAUCUGGCCCUGUAUUCUUUCAGCACCAUUCAAAAUAGUAUUAGGAAUGUUUUUUACCAAUGACUGUUUCAGGAGAAGCAUGGUUUAUUGUAAAAAGCGUUGACCCUGUAGAAGAAUAAGGGAGUGGCUGUGCCCUUUGCAAGCUGCAAGGUUGUAAGAGGAGCACCAGGAGGUGAUCUCUUGCUUGACGUGAGCCUGAGACCCCCUGACUCGGCCGGUAAUGACUUUUCCAUUUUAUAGGAAGCAGAUGGGAUUUUAAUGGACUGUGACUAUUGUCUAUUUUCUUUAAGCAACAUACACC